rnacentral:rRNA from 1 species
UACAGAGGUCCCAAGCGUUGUUCGGAUUCAUUGGGCGUAAAGGGUGUGUAGGUGGCGCCGUAAGUCGGGUGUGAAAUCUCGGGGCUUAACUCCGAAACUGCAUUCGAUACUGCGGUGCUUGAGGACUUGGAGAGGAGACUGGAAUUCAUGGUGUAGCAGUGAAAUGCGUAGAUAUCGUAAGGAAGACCAGUGGCGAAGGCGGGUCUCUGGACAGUUCCUGACGCUGAGGCACGAAGGCCAGGGGAGCAAACGGG